rnacentral:snoRNA from 1 species
CGAGCUGGAUGAUGAAGCCAGGAUGAUGCUCAAUGGCCUGCGUGCGCUCCUGAUGUGAAUUCCAUCCAAGUGCUGGAGCCAGGAAGUGAAGUGCUUAGAUGCUCGCCUUUUUCGCUCAACUCUCUGAAGCUCG